rnacentral:rRNA from 1 species
UACGGAGGGUGCAAGCGUUAAUCGGAUUUACUGGGCGUAAAGCGUGCGUAGGCGGCUAGGUCAGUUGGGUGUGAAAGCCCCGGGCUCAACUCGGGAACUGCACUCAAUACUGCCUAGCUAGAGUAUGUGAGAGGGAAGUGGAAUUUCUGGUGUAGCGGUGAAAUGCGUAGAGAUCAGAAGGAACACCGAUGGCGAAGGCAACUUCCUGGCACAAUACUGACGCUGAGGCACGAAAGCGUGGGGAGCAAACAGG